UACGUAGGGUGCGAGCGUUGUCCGGAAUUACUGGGUGUAAAGAGCUCGUAGGUGGUUUGUCACGUCGUCUGUGAAAUUCCGGGGCUUAACCUCGGGCGUGCAGGCGAUACGGGCAAUACUUGAGUGCUGUAGGGGAGACUGGAAUUCCUGGUGUAGCGGUGAAAUGCGCAGAUAUCAGGAGGAACACCAAUGGCGAAGGCAGGUCUCUGGGCAGUUACUGACGCUGAGGAGCGAAAGCAUGGGUAGCGAACAGGAUUAGA
rnacentral:rRNA from 1 species